UAAAAUCUUCAGGGCAGGGUGAAAUUCCCUACCGGUGGUUAUAGCCCACGAGCCAUUAUGGCAUGAUUCGGUGAGAUUCCGAAGCCGACAGUAAAGUCUGGAUGAAAGAAGAUAGAA
rfam:Terrisporobacter sp. 08-306576 Contig111, whole genome shotgun sequence.